UGAUGCAUGGUCGUCGUCAGUUCGUGGCUUGAGUUGUUCCCUUCAGUGGGGUAACGAACGCAACCCGCGUUGCCUGUUUUAUAUGUCAGGCGAGACUGCCCCCUCACGGGGGAGGAAGGUGCGGAUGACGCCAGAUCAGCAUGUCCCUCUGAUAUCCUGGGCUGCACGCAUGAUACAAUGCACGAGACAACGGGUCGCGACAGGGUAACCUUGAGCCAAUCCUUAUAAACUCGUGCUCAGUUCGGAUUGAGGUCUGCAACUCGACCUCAUGAAGCUGGAAUCGCUAGUAAUCGCAGGUCAGCUAUACUGCGGUGAAUACGUUCUCAAGUCUUGUACUCACCGCCCGUCAACUCAAGAGAGCCGGGAGUGCCCGAAGUCCGCCUAGCGCGGCCCACGGCAAGCUCGGUGAUAGGGAGUAAGUCGUAACAAGGCACGGGUAGCGGAAGCUGCUCGUGGAACA
rnacentral:rRNA from 1 species